rnacentral:sRNA from 1 species
GGACUGUUCUAAAUCCGGCUGAAGUGAUCAGUAAGUUAUGGGAGUCUGAGCUGUCUGGGACAAAGAGACGUCCUUCAGUGCUACCAGAGAACUGGAUUAAGGACCUGGAACAACACUGAGAAGUGUGUUGGUGGUCGGCACUAAAGUUUGGGCCUUGGGCCUUGUUUAUGACCUGCGAAAUCAUCCCGGCGCAUUUCUCCUUGCCAAUGGUGCUCCAGUGGUAGUUAGUUCUGACGGUAAUCCAGUCUGGUUCGCUAAUCCGCUGUCUCAUGAUUUCUACAUGGCCUUCAUGGGUUUGGGAGCAGUCUACGAUGACCUGAAGCUUCUCAAACAACUGGCCAUGAACUCAAUCACAUAUAGCGCCAUGACUUCCGUAGAGAAGGUCGACGCUCUAGCAAACUGGCAGAACAAAUGGAAUACAUUUAUUGCUGACGUCAUCUCCAUCUAUAAAU